CCUACGGGAGGCAGCAGUAGGGAAUAUUGCUCAAUGGGGGAAACCCUGAAGCAGCAACGCCGCGUGGGGGAUGAAGGUUUUCGGAUUGUAAACUCCUUUUGUUAGAGAAGAUAAUGACGGUAUCUAACGAAUAAGCACCGGCUAACUCCGUGCCAGCAGCCGCGGUAAUACGGAGGGUGCAAGCGUUACUCGGAAGCACUGGGCGUAAAGAGCGCGUAGGCGGGAUAGCAAGUCAGAUGUGAAAUCCUAUGGCUUAACCAUAGAACUGCAUUUGAAACUGGUAGUCUAGAGUAUGGGAGAGGUAGGUGGAAUUCUAGGUGUAGGGGUGAAAUCCGUAGAGAUCAAGAGGAAUACUCAUUGCGAAGGCGACCUGCUGGAACAUAACUGACGCUGAUGCGCGAAAGCGUGGGGAGCAAACAGGAUUAGAUACCCCAGUAGUC
rnacentral:rRNA from 1 species